rnacentral:rRNA from 1 species
GAUGAACGCUGGCGGCGUGCCUAAUACAUGCAAGUCGAGCGAACAGACGAGGAGCUUGCUCCUCUGACGUUAGCGGCGGACGGGUGAGUAACACGUGGAUAACCUACCUAUAAGACUGGGAUAACUUCGGGAAACCGGAGCUAAUACCGGAUAAUAUAUUGAACCGCAUGGUUCAAUAGUGAAAGACGGUUUUGCUGUCACUUAUAGAUGGAUCCGCGCCGCAUUAGCUAGUUGGUAAGGUAACGGCUUACUAAGGCAACGAUGCGUAGCCGACCUGAGAGGGUGAUCGGCCACACUGGAACUGAGACACGGUCCAGACUCCUAAGGGAGGCAGCAGUAGGGAAUCUGCCGCAAUGGGCGAAAGCCUGACGGAGCAACGCCGCGUGAGUGAUGAAGGUCUUCGGAUCGUAAAACUCUGUUAUUAGGGAAGAACAAAUGUGUAAGUAACUAUGCACGGCUUGACGGUACCUAAUCAGAAAGCCACGGCUAACUACGUG